rnacentral:rRNA from 1 species
UACGGGGGGAGCAAGCGUUGUUCGGAUUUACUGGGCGUAAAGGGCGCGUAGGCGGCGUGGUAAGUCACUUGUGAAAUCUCCGGGCUUAACUCGGAGCGGUCAAGUGAUACUGCUGUGCUAGAGUGCGGAAGGGGCAACUGGAAUUCUCGGUGUAGCGGUGAAAUGCGUAGAUAUCGUAAGGAAGACCAGUGGCGAAGGCGGGUCUCUGGACAGUUCCUGACGCUGAGGCACGAAGGCCAGGGGAGCAAACGGG